ACUUGUACAUCCCGAUCAGCUUGGAGUUCCGAUUGGUUGGUAGGCGCGGCGCUGGUUCGUAGGUCUCGGAUCCAGCCAGCGUGGUCUCCCUCCGGAGUUGCUCGUUCCGAUUGUGCUGGUAGCAGCAACUCUUCUGCUGCAGCCUUCUUCGCCGCCAAAAGGAAAUGAUGGUCUACGAAAUCCACUCCCAUGCCCAAAUCCAAGACCUGCAGGCCCGCUCCGAUGAGCUGGGCCACUCCAAAGACAUACAGCUUGUGAAUCUUGUCUCUUUGGAGUCGGUGCGCAUAGCGUGCGAGUCGUAUGAACUCCUCUGCCCGGUGAUCGAGGAGUUUGUGUUCUUGGCAUGCCCGGAGCUGGAAAACCUCUCGGUCGUGGCACGCUUGUCGCUGGAAAUCCAAAUGCUCGAGCAUGAUGUGUUACCCCAGCUCAAGGUUCAGGAAGCCAAGCUGGAACAGGGCGCCCUGGAAGCCCUCCUACUCAUGAAGAACUCAGCAAUUAUCCUCUUAGAUCUGAGGAAGCGCUUUAUGUUAGCCUUGGGCGUAUUGCUUGCCGAGGACGAUCUGGUCUUAGCCCGAGUCAAAAAGCUGAGCAUAAUGCUAAAGGAUACUGCUGAUGCUGUACUCAAAGGUUCAUUUUUUCUAAUAGGUUGCAACUAGAAGUGAAGUUAUCCCUAAGUAUCUUUUGACAUUUUUGUCUAUUUCUUGGAUAUGAGCUAAAAAAACAUAAUUCCUUAAA